AACAUUUCGAGUAAUUACGAGCGUGCAAUUGGAAGACCUUGGGCAAGUCCCUACUCUUCUCGGACCCUCGGUCUUUUCUUCUCUGCAAUGGGUAUGAGAACCUUUAACCUGCGGGAUUAUGGUUUGGCUCACACCCAUCACAACUGUGGCUUAUGGAGUGCCUCCUGUGUGCAGAGGACUGUUUGUCAUCUCCUCUUCCCUCCCAGGAGGGGAGGUUGGGCACAGGCUGUCCCCUCAACCCAGGAGAGGACAGUUGGAGACGUGGCUGGAGAUGCCGCUGCGGGAGGGAAGGAAGUAGGGGGGGCUGGGCAGGCUGGACUGACGCAGCUGUGAUGUCAGCGACAGGCCGCAGGCGGUGGCCAGCCCAGUGCGAACGACAGCCAUCCCCCGGGCCUGGCCUUGCCCACAAGAUUCCCAGAUUUCACAACCGGGGCUGGCGCUGA
rnacentral:lncRNA from 1 species